rnacentral:rRNA from 1 species
AUUGAACGCUGGCGGCAUGCCUUACACAUGCAAGUCGAACGGCAGCACGGGGCAACCUGGUGGCGAGUGGCGAACGGGUGAGUAACGCAUCGGAACGUACCUUUCAGUGGGGGAUAACGUAGCGAAAGUUACGCUAAUACCGCAUAUUCUGUGAGCAGGAAAGCAGGGGAUCGCAAGACCUUGCGCUGAUUGAGCGGCCGAGGUCAGAUUAGCUAGUUGGUGAGGUAAAGGCUGACCAAGGCGACGAUCUGUAGCGGGUCUGAGAGGAUGAUCCGCCACACUGGAACUGAAACACGGACCAGACUCCUACGGGAGGCAGCAGUGGGGAAUUUUGGACAAUGGGGGCAACCCUGAUCCAGCCAUGCCGCGUGAGUGAAGAAGGCCUUCGGGUUGUAAAGCUCUUUCGGCCGGGAAGAAAUCGCACGGGCUAAUACCCUGUGUGGAUGACGGUACCGGAAUAAGAAGCACCGGCUAACUACGUGCCAGCCGCCGCAGUAAGAC